GAACCACAUGGGUGGAAGGAAGCAGUCUUCUCAUGCCCAGGUACUGUCUCACAUCUGAGGGCAGAGCACAAGGCCGGGAUAAAAGGGCACUGGGGCCGGAGUACCUCCAUCCACUCCUGUCCUGGGCUGCUGACAACGCUGUGCUGCCUAUGCACUGUGAUCUGAAGGAUUUACAACAUUGAUCAUCAUGCUAACCUACAGCUGCGUUCAAAAAGGGACUCUUAUCUCUGAAAACAUAACUGUCCUCCUGGAAAAGCAGAGAUGGUGACGGUAGUGCUCAGCCAGGAGAGAGGAAAUCAGAACUGACCGACCUUUUUUAAACUGUCAGAGUAGUGGGUCUGCAGAAGUGAAGACGCAAACCCGAAAGCCAGGUGCUGAGGUAUUAGUUUGUGAUCCUGAGCCUGCCACCAAGAUGUCCUGCCAGCAGAACCAGCAGCAGUGCCAGCCCCCUUCCAAGUGCCCCCCCAAGUGCCCCACCCCUAAAUGCCCCCCAAAAUGUCCCCCGAAGUGCCCUCCAGUCUCCUCCUGCUGCGGCCCCAGCUCCGGGGACUGCUGCAGCUCUGGGUGUGGGGGCUGCUGCCUGAGCCACCACAGGCGCCGCAGGUCCCACCACUGCAGACCCCACAGGUCUGACUGCUGCAGCCAGCCCUCGGGGGGCUCCGGGUGCUGCGGAGGGGGCAGUGGUCAGUCCUAUGGAGGCGGCUGCUGCUGAAGUGGACCCUGUGCCAAGAAGAGCCGACCUGGGGACAACAGAUGGACAAGCACUUCCUCCUCCUCCUGCCCCUCCUGCUGGGCCUUCCCUUGUCGCUGGGGGUCUGGGUGAGGCCUUUGAGCUCUGGUCCAGGGGUACCUAUUCCUUGGGUCCAGGAGCCCCAAACUCCCUCCCAAAUCCAUUUAUUCACCUCCUUUUCAUAUGUGGGGAAUCUCUGAGAACCCCAAAGCACAGACCCCGUGUCCCUCUGCAGCUUCUCUUUUUGCAUAAACUAGCCUGAUGUGAAACAAUAAAGCUAGAAAUCUAUAUUC